rnacentral:rRNA from 1 species
ACGUAGGGUGCGAGCGUUAAUCGGAAUUACUGGGCGUAAAGCGUGCGCAGGCGGUUCGCUAAGACAGGUGUGAAAUCCCCGGGCUUAACCUGGGAAUGGCGUUUUGAUCUGGCAGUCUAGAGUGCGUCAGAGGGGGGUGGAGUUCCACUUGUAGCAGUGAAAUGCGUAGAGAUGUGGAGGAACACCGAUGGCGAAGGCAGCCCCCUGGGAUGACACUGACGCUCAUGUACGAAAGCGUGUGUAGCAAACAG